CAGUCGCCACGGUAAUACGGAGGGUGCAAGCGUUAAUCGGAAUUACUGGGCGUAAAGCGCACGCAGGCGGUCUGUCAAGUCAGAUGUGAAAUCCCCGGGCUUAACCUGGGAACUGCAUUUGAAACUGGCAGGCUAGAGUCUUGUAGAGGGGGGUAGAAUUCCAGGUGUAGCGGUGAAAUGCGUAGAGAUCUGGAGGAAUACCGAUGGCGAAGGCAGCCAUCUGGCCUAACACUGACGCUGAGGUACGAAAGCAUGGGGAGCAAACAGGAUUAGAUACCCCAGUAGUCCCUGUCUCUUAUAC
rnacentral:rRNA from 1 species